rnacentral:rRNA from 1 species
UACAGAGGGUGCGAGCGUUGUCCGGAAUCACUGGGCGUAAAGGGCGCGUAGGUGGCGACCCAAGUCGAUGGUGAAAGCUCGCCGCUCAACGGCGAGUCGGCCACUGAUACUGGGUUGCUGGAGCACUGUAGAGGCAGAUGGAAUUCCGGGUGUAGCGGUGGAAUGCUUAGAGAUCCGGAAGAACACCGGUGGCGAAGGCGGUCUGCUGGGCAGUUGCUGACACUGAGGCGCGACAGCGUGGGGAGCAAACAGG